rnacentral:rRNA from 1 species
CUACGGGUGGCAGCAGUGAGGAAUAUUGCACAAUGGGGGGAACCCUGAUGCAGCAACGCCGCGUGUGUGAAGAAGGCCUGCGGGUUGUAAAGCACUUUCGGUUGGGAGGACUGCUUCUAGCACUAAUAUUGUUGGAAGUUGACGUUACCUUCAGAAGAAGCACCGGCUAACUCCGUGCCAGCAGCCGCGGGUAAUACGGAGGGUGCAAGCGUUAAUCGGAAUUACUGGGCGUAAAGCGCGCGUAGGCGGCUAGAUCAGUCGGGUGUGAAAGCCCCGGGCUUAACCUGGGAACUGCAUCCGAUACUGGCUAGCUUGAGUACAGGAGAGGAGAGUGGAAUUCCACAUGUAGCGGUGAAAUGCGUAGAUAUGUGGAGGAACACCAAUGGCGAAGGCAGCUCUCUGGCCUGAUACUGACGCUGAGGUGCGAAAGCGUGGGGAGCAAACAGGAUUAGAUACCCCAGUAGUC